rnacentral:rRNA from 1 species
UACGGAGGGUGCAAGCGUUGUCCGGAUUCAUUGGGCGUAAAGGGUGCGUAGGCGGCGUGGUAAGUCGGAUGUGAAAUCUCGGAGCUUAACUCCGAAACUGCAUUCGAUACUGCCGUGCUUGAGGACUGGAGAGGAGACUGGAAUUUACGGUGUAGCGGUGAAAUGCGUAGAUAUCGUAAGGAAGACCAGUGGCGAAGGCGGGUCUCUGGACAGUUCCUGACGCUGAGACGCGAAAGCGUGGGGAGCAAACAGG